CCCGCGCGCCCGCUCCGCCGCGCCGCCCCGCCCCGCUGGGCCCGGCGUGGGCAGGGCGUCCAGAGCGGGUGUCUGCCGGAGGGGCGGCGGACCCUCGGUCCACAGGGAAAAGGAGGGGACUGUGAAGACUGGAGAAGGCACGAGGGUCCCCGCCCCCCAACCCUGAGCACCCUUUCUGGAUGCGGAGCCCCUGCUGCCGUAGUCCCAAUUCCUGCUUGGCCCACGGUGGGAGUGGGCGCUCCUCUUCCGCCGGUUGUUUCCCUUGUCUUCUCACUACCUCCCUCCACCCGGGCCCCCCUCAGGCCUUGCGCCCGAAUUUGGACCUAGAGACAGGAUCCGAGAGGAACAGGCUGUGUUUCAGCUGGCGGGCUGUGCAGACCCGCCAGCGCGUCGGAAAGCUCCAAGUCUGGGCCCUGGCUCCUGAGCACCCUUCAGGGUCUGGACGGGACUCAUGCCUGUUUGUGCAUCAGAACACUGUUAGGCCUGAGAAGCCAAGAAAGAAGUAGAGGCCCCAGGAAGGGAAAGGAGGAAACUCCCGGCAGAGGAGCUGUCAGGAAAGUCAGCGCAGCAGGCCUGGCUCCACGGGCUCCGCUUGGGUGAUUUCUGAGCUGGGGGACCCUUCUUUAAGGGAUCAUCAGGUGAAAAACACGUACAGCUUGGAAAGUGAGUAAAUGUUUCUGCAUGUUUCCUUUUGGCUUGGAGAUUUGAAGAAAAAUGGUUUUAUUUGCUCAGAUAUUUCAAGUUUUCCUGGUCUUGGUUUGGAGGAGCUCUCUGUCCAGAAUACGUUAGUUCUGGUUUAAGGGUACGCUGCAAAGGAGGGGGAGCAAAAUGGAGUGAAGCUUUAGCUCCAAGGUCAGAGUCAACCUGGGCAGGAGAGCAGAAGUGCUGCCGACCAACCCCUACUCGUCCCCCGGGAACCUCACACCUGAGCAGGGCAGUCUGCUGGUUAGCGCGAUGCGUUAGACUUCAGAUUUUAGAUUAGUCUAGAGAGGCAGGUUAGGUGCUAUAUCCAAGAGCAGGAGGCCAUCUGCAGUUUCUCACCUUUUAACUGUGUGACCAGCCAGUGGAAUAGCCACCUGUACCGGCCUGCCCGGCCCCACCUGGUGGGAGAGAAACAGGAGACCGAUUUACCUGGCCAAGUGUGCCAGGCUUGUCAUUCUGUUCAGAUGCCCACAGGGGGCUUGCGUAGCCGGUGAGGUUUCAUGUACAAACCCAUCUGGAAUCCACAGGGUGGGGAACUCCAUUCCUCGGCCAUGUGCUCACCCUCUGAAGGACCCCGUCUGCUUCCCUUACUCAAGGCACUUCCUCGCCCCGAGAGGGCUCACACAGGCCAGCCAAGGCUGCUCACUGUUGUCCUGAAAUGUCCAUCCACCCAUCACUGGGACCUGCCUUUGUCCUCAGAAGGCCCCAGCAUGAUGCGAAUCAUUUCUUAGGAUGGGCAUCCCAGGUGCUCUGUGAAACGGUGGGAGUGCAAGCGGGCAUGCCCAUGUGAAAACAAGAUCGUGUCGGGUGGGUCCUGAGGCCCAGGCACUGGAGGAGACACAUCUCCCUGUGUCCUGCCACUGAAUGUCCCAUGUCUGGACAGCCCUGAAGUGCGCUGUGACCUCCAACAGGGUAUGUACCUCCCGGCAGUAACCAGUCUUGAGUCGGACCCUGACGUGGGAGCUCUGUGUCGGCUAACUCAGAAUCAUCCUCACUCCGUCGGUGGUUCAGUUUUCACGCCCCUACAGGGAGUGGGGGGGAGUGGUGUGCAGGGUCAGGCACAGGUGGGAGCUGUGGCACAGCAUUCCGCCCAGGCCCUGCGCCCCCACCUGUGUAGCAUUCCCCGAACUUGUCUGACGGAGGAAGCCCUUUACGCAGCACACAGCGUCUUACAGGAACUCCCGUUUUCAGGAAGAUGGUUUCAGCAGCGCUGCAGUGACUGAUGCGAGCCCAGCAGAGAGCAUUGGUUUAUCAGACUUGCUGUGAAUGGAGCGGUGAGCAUACAUUGAGAGGAGGGGAAAAUGUGAUCUAAAACACAAGGCAGUAGAUUUCAAAGGAUAGUCUGCAGCCUUGUCACUCGGAGUGUGGUCCCCAGACCAGCAGCAUCGACACCCCUAAGGAGCUUGUUAAAAAUGCAGAGCCUCAGAGCACACCCCACGCCUACCUUACGUGCGGGCACCUGCAUCUUGACCGACUCCCCCUUCGCUCCACCUCUGUCCUCGGGGCAUCUGCCUCAGAAUCCUAGGGAGGCUCCUGAACUAUGCAGAGUCCUGGUUUCUGCCUGAGGCCUGCUGACGUGGAGCUUGGAGAAUGGGGCCUGGGACCUGGCCUUGUAACAAUGUCUUGGGGUGACGUUCACGCACACUAGCGUUUGAGAACCACUGGCCUGUCCCACAGGCAACAAGCAGCUCCCGGGAGCCUCCUAAAAAUGCUACUUCCUGGGCCGCCCCUGGAUCUACUGAGUCUGGGCGUCUAGGGGCCGAGCCUGGGAAUCAGCACGAGGAUGAUGGUGAAACGGACACAGCUGCCCUGAGGCGGGACUCCAGCCAGCUCUGCUCUGCCCAGCAUCCUGGGGCUAUGCCCACUGGGAGGAGGAGCUGUGAUCUCCGCCCCUGGAUCAAGAGCCCUAGAGAAAAGUGUGCUUUUGUUUCUAGGAGAGAUUAAGAAAAUGCAUUUGGGAGGGUAGCCUAUGAGUGGCUGUUUGCUCUCGACACCUGUAAACUGUUGACUGUAAUUGGACCACAGAUGUUCCCUGAGCCUGAUAGCUUUCUCUCCUCCGGCCGUGGAGGGGAGUCUGGGGAGGGGUUCUUCUCUAGUAGGAAAUUGAAUGAUUGUAUUGGGGCUGCAUUUCCUUGCCUUCCUCUGAUUUAAUCUGUUUUUCUCCAUUUAUCAUUAUUAUUUUCGACACUUCAGUGUUAGACAAAAAGCUGUUUUGUAAAGAAAGCAGGGGGAUGUUAGCAAAAGGUGUGUUCAUAGAAUCAAACAGAAUCUUUGUGGGCAAAUGAAGGUAUUCAAAGUCCUGCAGAAAUGGAUGAAAUCCUCCUGCCCUCCAGCUCAAGGAGACCUCCCAGCGUGGAACAGAGAAGAGCAAUCUCACAGGAGAAAGCAGGAGAGAGCAUCUCUCAAGUCCAUCCCCUCCCCUCCAGCUACCCAUCGGAGCCCCAUCAUCUCUCACCUGGAUCCCUGCGCAGCCUCACUCCUCUCCCUGCAAACCCGGCCCCACGGGGACCACUGAAACUUGCAUCAGAGAACAUCACGUGAUGCCCUGCUUCAAGCCCUCAGGCUGGACCCUCUCGGAACCUCGAUGCUCUCUCCAUGGCCCACAGGUCCUGUGCCAUCUGGCCCCUCCGCCCCCUCCCCCUCGCUCUGCCCUUGCUAUCUGGAGCAUUCUGCCCCAGGUCUAGGCAAGGCCGACUGCUGCUCAGAGAUGCCCUGCAGGGCCCCCAGCAAGGCUGCUCGCCCACCUCUCCUCAGCCAGGACCUUUCACACCUAUCACAUCCCUCUGGUUCUGUCUGUCUGAUGUCUGCAGUGCAGCAGGGGCCUCUCUGCCCGGCCCCCUGCCCUCUCCCCAGCUCCCGGAUGGUGCCGGCCCAGGCUCAGCAAACAUCUGAAUAAAUGAAUGUCUGAGUGGAUGACUGGGAAAGCUGGGAGAGAAGGUGCAGUCUCCUGGGACUUAACCUUGGGGGAGUGGGGAGGGGUCCGUGAUGCCACGCUGCCUGAACUCCUGCCCCACGCCUGGGAAGAAGGAAUACCGGUGGUUUUUCUUCUUUCUUCUGUGAACUCCGGGGCAGAAUGAGAGCCAGGGCCGGGGGGAGGGUGGUUCAGCUGAAUGUGGCAACAACAAGGGGUUAGGAAGACAUCAGGGGGGAGAGGAAGGAGGAUGAUAAAAUGCAUGUCGGGGAAGAGGAACCAAUUAAACAGUCAACUAAAUAAUAUUAGAUUUAGAGGAGGGAGAAAAUGGAGAUGUUGGAAAUAUGAGUAGACUGAGUGGCAAUAAAACAGGAGAGAGACCAAGAAAAUGGGGAAAAAGUAGAAAUGGACUUUCUGAGUUAAAGCAUCCGCCUGGGCCUGGAGACUGCGCAGCCGGGAUGCCCCUUUGGCUCAGCCGCUCAGGCAUCCCGGAGGAAUCGGGUUUCACCUGUAGGCUCACUGGUUGGAUGCUUUCAAAUUCCAUUUAACCCGGUUUGAUCAUCGAAUUUUGGGGGAUUGCUGCUGGUCACCUCCAGAGCACAAGCCCCUGCCGGCUGGACUCCUUGGGGGUGGGGCAGGGUUCCCCGCCCAGCCCCAGUCUGCUCAAGUGCAGCCAAGACAAGUGUCCUGUCCUCAAGAAGCAAGCCCUCUGUUCACCUUCACGAGCUGGGGCCCCACUUUGCUUUCUGGGUCUGUGGUUGAAGCUUCACAGAGAAGAAGCUGCAGAGGCAGACGGACGAAGCCGCCUGCUCAAGGACACAACCCCCCUGGGAGCCGCUUCUUUGGGAGAAGGCAGGGCCCUCACACUUCAGUUGAGCAACAGGGUCACCUGACAAGCAUUUUAAAAACAUGAGUGCUUGGACCUCAGACCAGCCCCAUAGGGUCACGUCCAGCAACUCUGUUCUUGACGUUCCCCAGAUGAACUUAAAUGCACACCGGUGGUUGGGCAUUAAACCCCUUCUGAGUGUUUCUAUCUCAAUGCCUUAGUGUGACUUAAUUUUUGAUAUUUUUCUAGUAAAGGGGCUUCCAUGGGUUGGGAAAGUGAACACUUGAUUGAUGGAAGGAAAGGUGGCAGGGGCUCCAGAGGUGACUGAUUUCACCUGUCUGGGUGGGGUACGACAGAGGGAUUCUGGGGAUGGCUGCAGGGGCCUCAAGGCCGCUGGGCAAUAUGUGUGAAACGGGGAAGAGCUCUGAUGGAAGGAAGUGAGGGACGUGCAGAUGUGGUCACCCACCUACUCCGCAGGCGACCAGCUCUCAGCCCAAAUUCCUAGAGCCGAUCCCUCAGAGCAAGAUUCCUCCCACAGGAAAUGGACCAGAACUGGAUCUCAGGCUGCACACAGCAGAGGUGAGCGCUGGGUGGUGUGGAGACGGGUGCUGGGGCAUCAGAGGAUGCGAUGGGAGGUGCAAAGUAAACCAGUAGGUCAAGACCCUUCUCUGCCCCAACAACUGCAGAAAGGAGGGGCCCCCAGGGUCCCGUGCAGGGCGCCAGCAGAAGGCCGAGUGCUGUGCAGCAGCUGAUGGCUGCGUUGCCGGGCAGGCCGGGUGAGAAUGAGCAGCAUCUCUGACAUCCGGGCAGCUCUGUCAUUUCCUGAGCCCUUUCUCAGGCAUCACCCCAUCCACUUGCUGCCACCUCAUUUCGCAGAUGAGGAAACUAAGGCUCAGACACGGGAAACGGCCCAGUGGGAGUUAGGCAGCUCAUUGGAAACAGAACAGGGAGACCACAGAAGUCUGCUCAUAGCCCAGGGGUCCUCCCCAGGGAGGCAUUUUAGCUCCACAGCUAUAACGCAGAAAGUGGCUUCUUCUGGAGUAUUCCCAAACUAAGAAGAAGAAGAGCAGAAACUGGAGAGCUAACCUAGAUCACGGUUGUUUUCCACGGACUCUACGGUCUCAGGACCCAGGACCACGGAUGCCCGCCUUCUAAACCAAAGAGGAGGAGGGCCUGUUUGAUCCACCAACCAGUGUCUUCCCUUAGCGAGCUUGGGCUGGUGUGCACAGGUGGACGAGACGGCAGGGCUUUGGCUGGGAGAAAUUGCGCCCCGUCCAGGCCCAUGUGUCCGUCGGGGCUGGCUCCUCUGAAUUCAUUGACCCCUCAGGACUCCGAUGAUGCACAGGUGCUACACGAUGUCCAGGGGUGCCGCUGGGGACAAGAGACUGGCCCCUGUCUCCGUGGACCACACCAUCCAGAGGGGAGUUAGAAUACAGACCCUGGGCGAGGAAGUGGGAAGCUCAGCGAGGCGUGCGUGGCAACAACGCCUUAUACUUUCACACCUGGUGUUUCAAGUGCUCCUCACAACCUCCCUGUUAGAAAAGUGGGACUUGCAGUGUCAGCCUCAAUUUACAGGAGCCAAUUUACUGCACUUGAAAUUCAGUGUUCAGAGGAAUAUUGUGAAAGUGCCGGAGAGAUAACGCAGCUAGGAGAGGGUUGGUGUCGCUGGUGGGCCGCUCCGACUCUCACAGUCAGGAAGCUUCUGGUGCAGAUUGAACCAAGGAAAGAAGAGCCCCCUUCCCUACGGACCCUGUUCCAGGACUGGAGACUGAGCGCUUUCGAUGCCUGGUCUGUCUACUCUCACGCCCGUUGUCUGAGGUGGGGUCCGUUGUC
rnacentral:lncRNA from 1 species